GUCACCGCCGCCAGCGGCGGGCUGGGGGAGCGCGCUGCCGCCGGGACCGCGCCUGGGCCGUGGAGGGCGCGGGUGAGGGCCCAGGAAGGAGGCGGCGGCCCCUCAGCUGCUGAGCAGCUCCCGCGCUUCAGGUCCCGCGGCUCUGAGUAUUCGGACCCUCAGGGCCGAGCGCGAAGUGCCCAACUCGCUGCUCCGUGGAGCUGGCCGCGUUCUGAGAUCUACAGAAACACAAGAAAACUUUACAUGUAAAAAAAUGAUAGGAGACAGCAGUUGAGGAAUACCAAUUAAUUGACAGGGUCUCACCAUUACUGGCAGAACCAGUCACAUCACAAGUCACUACUUCAAUAUAAGGAUGACUGUGACAACAACCUAAUAGAACUACGAAAUCUGGAUAAAACCCACACUUCUUAGCUUUGAAUAUAAAGCCCUUUAUGAUCUGGUCCCUGCCUCUAUCUUAUCUCAUUCAUUCAUUCAUUCAUUCAUUCAUUCUCUGAAGGCUUAAUUGGCAGCCUCUAUGUGCCAGUGAUCAGGUCCCUGCCCUUAAAGAGCACACUGCAUAGUAGGGCAACACAUAAU